UCCCCGUUGCCGGGGCAGUCUGAUUAGAAAAAUACAACUAAUCACAAGGGUUGCGCUCGUUAAUGGACUUAACCAAACAUCUCACGACACGAGCUGACGACGGCCAUGCAACAUCUGUCACCGAGUUCAAUAAAGCACUCACUACUUUCGUAGUAAUUCUCGUGAUGUCAAACCCUGGUAAGGUUCUUCGGUUAGCAUCGAAUUAAACCACAUGCUCCACCGCUUGUGCGGGCCCCCGUCAAUUUCUUUGAGUUUUAACCUUGCGGCCGUACUCCCCAGGCGGAUGACUUAACGCGUUAGCUGCGCCACCGAAACGCUAAGCGCCCCGACAGCUAGUCAUCAUCGUUUACGGCGUGGACUAC
rnacentral:misc_RNA from 1 species